GAUGAACGCUGGCGGCGUGCCUAAUACAUGCAAGUCGAGCGAACAGACGAGGAGCUUGCUCCUCUGACGUUAGCGGCGGACGGGUGAGUAACACGUGGAUAACCUACCUAUAAGACUGGGAUAACUUCGGGACACCGGAGCUAAUACCGGAUAAUAUAUUGAACCGCAUGGUUCAAUAGUGAAAGACGGUUUUGCUGUCACUUAUAGAUGGAUCCGCGCCGCAUUAGCUAGUUGGUAAGGUAACGGCUUACCAAGGCGACGAUGCGUAGCCGACCUGAGAGGGUGAUCGGCCACACUGGAACUGAGACACGGUCCAGACUCCUACGGGAGGCAGCAGUAGGGAAUCUUCCGCAAUGGGCGAAAGCCUGACGGAGCAACGCCGCGUGAGUGAUGAAGGUCUUCGGAGCGUAAAACUCUGUUAUGAGGGAAGAACAAAUGUGUAAGUAACUAUGCACGUCUUGACGGUACCUAAUCAGAAAGCCACGGCUAACUACGUG
rnacentral:rRNA from 1 species